CUCCCUCCCGCGCGCACCCCCCUCCCCAUCUCGGUGCAACCACCGAUUCCGGCCACCACCGACCGUGACAUCGGUGCCAAACAGACCGGCCAGGCCCCACCGUCACACCCCAGCCAAGCUCCGUCGAUAACAGCCGCGAAUUUCGCCGGAAAUUGCAGAAAUCCGGUGGUUUUUCCCGAUUUUUCAAACCGCUCGUUCUCUCUCAUUUCUUCACCAAAUUGGACGUAUAAGGUACUCCGACCCAACAUACGCAGCAGGCGGGACCCUCUAAGGGUCAAGCUGUGUGGGAUUACUUCCAGUAGCGACUGAGUUUUGCAGUUGAGCCGGACCGGGUGCAUUUUGGAAUUCGAGUCUU